rnacentral:rRNA from 3 species
AGAGUUUGAUCAUGGCUCAGAUUGAACGCUGGCGGCAGGCCUAACACAUGCAAGUCGAGCGGUAGCACAGAGAGCUUGCUCUCGGGUGACGAGCGGCGGACGGGUGAGUAAUGUCUGGGAAACUGCCUGAUGGAGGGGGAUAACUACUGGAAACGGUAGCUAAUACCGCAUAACGUCGCAAGACCAAAGUGGGGGACCUUCGGGCCUCAUGCCAUCAGAUGUGCCCAGAUGGGAUUAGCUAGUAGGUGGGGUAACGGCUCACCUAGGCGACGAUCCCUAGCUGGUCUGAGAGGAUGACCAGCCACACUGGAACUGAGACACGGUCCAGACUCCUACGGGAGGCAGCAGUGGGGAAUAUUGCACAAUGGGCGCAAGCCUGAUGCAGCCAUGCCGCGUGUGUGAAGAAGGCCUUCGGGUUGUAAAGCACUUUCAGCGGGGAGGAAGGCGAUAAGGUUAAUAACCUUGUCGAUUGACGUUACCCGCAGAAGAAGCACCGGCUAACUCCGUGCCAGCAGCCGCGGUAAUACGGAGGGUGCAAGCGUUAAUCGGAAUUACUGGGCGUAAAGCGCACGCAGGCGGUCUGUCAAGUCGGAUGUGAAAUCCCCGGGCUCAACCUGGGAACUGCAUUCGAAACUGGCAGGCUAGAGUCUUGUAGAGGGGGGUAGAAUUCCAGGUGUAGCGGUGAAAUGCGUAGAGAUCUGGAGGAAUACCGGUGGCGAAGGCGGCCCCCUGGACAAAGACUGACGCUCAGGUGCGAAAGCGUGGGGAGCAAACAGGAUUAGAUACCCUGGUAGUCCACGCCGUAAACGAUGUCGAUUUGGAGGUUGUGCCCUUGAGGCGUGGCUUCCGGAGCUAACGCGUUAAAUCGACCGCCUGGGGAGUACGGCCGCAAGGUUAAAACUCAAAUGAAUUGACGGGGGCCCGCACAAGCGGUGGAGCAUGUGGUUUAAUUCGAUGCAACGCGAAGAACCUUACCUGGUCUUGACAUCCACAGAACUUUCCAGAGAUGGAUUGGUGCCUUCGGGAACUGUGAGACAGGUGCUGCAUGGCUGUCGUCAGCUCGUGUUGUGAAAUGUUGGGUUAAGUCCCGCAACGAGCGCAACCCUUAUCCUUUGUUGCCAGCGGUUCGGCCGGGAACUCAAAGGAGACUGCCAGUGAUAAACUGGAGGAAGGUGGGGAUGACGUCAAGUCAUCAUGGCCCUUACGACCAGGGCUACACACGUGCUACAAUGGCAUAUACAAAGAGAAGCGACCUCGCGAGAGCAAGCGGACCUCAUAAAGUAUGUCGUAGUCCGGAUUGGAGUCUGCAACUCGACUCCAUGAAGUCGGAAUCGCUAGUAAUCGUAGAUCAGAAUGCUACGGUGAAUACGUUCCCGGGCCUUGUACACACCGCCCGUCACACCAUGGGAGUGGGUUGCAAAAGAAGUAGGUAGCUUAACCUUCGGGAGGGCGCUUACCACUUUGUGAUUCAUGACUGGGGUGAAGUCGUAACAAGGUAACCGUAGGGGAACCUGCGGUUG